AUUGAACGCUGGCGGCAGGCCUAACACAUGCAAGUCGAACGGUAACAGGAAGCAGCUUGCUGCUUCGCUGACGAGUGGCGGACGGGUGAGUAAUGUCUGGGAAGCUUCCUGAUGGAGGGGGAUAACUACUGGAAACGGUAGCUAAUACCUCAUAAUGUCGCAAGCCCAAAGAGGGGGACCUUCGGGCCUCUUGCCAUCGGAUGUGCCCAGAUGGGAUUAGCUUGUUGGUGGGGUAACGGCUCACCAAGGCGACGAUCCCUAGCUGGUCUGAGAGGAUGAACAGCCACACUGGAACUGAGACACGGUCCAGACUCCUACGGGAGGCAGCAGUGGGGAAUAUUGCACAAUGGGCGGAAGCAUGAUGCAGCCAUGCCGCGUGUAUGAAGAAGGCCUUCGGGUUGUAAAGUACGUUCAGCGGGGAGGAAGGGAGUAAAGUUAAUACCUUUGCUCAUUGACGUUACCCGCAGAAGAAGCACCGGCUAACUCCGUG
rnacentral:rRNA from 1 species